rnacentral:siRNA from 1 species
AAGUUUGGUGAAUUUGCAUG